UACAGAGGGGGACAACAGCUGGAAACGGCUGCUAAUACCGCAUAACGUUUAGUUGGGGCAUCCCGAUUAAACCAAAAGAGCAAUCCGCUGUAAGAUGGCUUCGCGUCCGAUUAGACAGUUGGCGGGGUAACGGCCCACCAAAUCUACGAUCGGUAGCCGGACUGAGAGGUUGAACGGCCACAUUGGGACUGAGACACGGCCCAGACUCCUACGGGAGGCAGCAGUGGGGGAUAUUGCACAAUGGGGGAAACCCUGAUGCAGCGACGCCGCGUGAGGGAAGAAGGUUUUCGGAUUGUAAACCUCUGUCUUCGGUGACGAAAAUGACGGUAGCCGAGGAGGAAGCCACGGCUAACUACGUGCCAGCAGCCGCGGUAAUACGUAGGUAGCAAGCGUUGUCCGGAAUUACUGGGUGUAAAGGGAGCGUAGGCGGGAGAGCAAGUCGAUUGUCUAAACUAUGGGCUCAACCCAUAGUCGCGAUCGAAACUGUUUUUCUUGAGUGAAGUAGAGGUAAGCGGAAUUCCUAGUGUAGCGGUGAAAUGCGUAAAUAUUAGGAGGAACACCAGUGGCGAAGGCGGCUUACUGGGCUUUAACUGACGCUGAGGCUCGAAAGCGUGGGUAGCAAACAGGAUUAGAUACCCUGGUAGUCCACGCCGUAAACGAUGAUUACUAGGUGUGGGGGGACUGACCCCUUCCGUGCCGGAGU
rnacentral:rRNA from 1 species